rnacentral:lncRNA from 1 species
AAAAUCAAAACCCGGAAAACAAAAAUAUCAACGCCAUUUCUUCUUCGCCCGCCCUCUCCCCUCUUCCUCUGCAACGAGUCUCUCUCUUUAUCCAUGCAACUUCGAAAGUUAAUAGGGCCACAAUAUGGACUAGUAAAUGGUUCAUCUCUGGACACCAAAUGACUGAAACAGAGGGAUGGCAACCCGGAGUAACUACACUGGAGGCUACGAAUUAUUGAGCUCUCUACUCAAAACCAUGUAUUGAAUUAGUGUCUUUUUUUUAAAAUUUUGAUGGGUUUCUCUCCCUCUUCUUUGGUUUGAUAGAAUUCAUGGCCUUUAUAGUGAAAACCCUAUAAAAUUUCAGGGAAGAACGAUGGAAGAUUACGUUUUCAUGCCUGCAAAUGAGGAGAGGAUUAGGGAAAAGAAAAGACAGAACAAUGGAUUGAGGAGGAGGUUUUGGCAUUUGGGAUGAGAAAGACAGAGAGGAGGAGGGUGGGGCGUGCGAGAUGAGGAAGAGAGAAUGCUGGAGCAGGAAAAAGACCCUACGAAUAGAGAGAGAGAGUGAGUGAGAUUUGACCUAAAACAACCGAGAAGAGUGAUUGCCAGAGGUGCUGGCAUGAGAGAGAGGAACGGCACACGAUGAGAGAGAUAAGUGUUUGCAGUUGUUUUGGUGGGGUUUGUGAUCGAAGGUUUCUAUGGGGUUCUAAAGAGAGAGGUUACACACCCAUUAAAAAACCUCUACUGUAAAAAAAUGAUAGUUUCUCCCCGAAUUUUACUGUUUUGGGAAACAACGACGAUGACGA